rnacentral:rRNA from 1 species
UGGCGGACGGGUGAGUAAUGCAUCGGGACCUACUGAAUGGGGGAUAACGUAGGGAAACUUACGCUAAUACCGCAUACGUCAUACGGGAGAAAGCAGGACCUUUCGGGCCUUGCGCGGUCAGACGGACCGAUGUUCGAUUAGCUAGUUGGUGAGAAUGGCUCACCAAGGCGACGAUCGAUAGCUGGUCUGAGAGGAUGAUCAGCCACACUGGCUGAGACACGGUCCAGACUCCUACGGGAGGCAGCAGUGGGGAAUAUUGGACAAUGGGCAAGCCUGAUCCAGCAAUGCCGCGUGUGUGAAGAAGGCCUUCGGGUUGUAAAGCACUUUUCGGGAGCGAAAUACCAUCGGUUAAUACCCGGUGGGGCUGACGGUACCCGAGGAAUAAACCGGCUAACUUCGUGCCAGCAGCCGCGGUAAUACGAAGGGUGCAAGCGUUAAUCGGAUACUGGGCGUAAAGGGUGCGUAGGCGGUUAGUUAAGUCUGUCGUGAAAUCCCCGGGCUACCUGGGAAUGGCGAUGGAUACUGGCUGGCUAGAGUGUGUCAGAGGAUGGUGGAAUUUGGUGUAGCGGUGAAAUGCGUAGAGAUCGGAAGGAACAUCAGUGGCGAAGGCGGCCAUCGGACAACACUGACGCUGAAGCACGAAAGCGUGGGGAGCAAACAGGAUUAGAUACCCUGAGUCCACGCCCUAAACGAUGCGAACUGGAUGUUGGUCUCAACUCGGAGAUCAGUGUCG